AUGAAUAUUAUACGUUGUUCCAUUAAAACACUCAAGGGGUUAUACGAUAUAUCGGGUGUAGAAGUAGGCCAACACUUCUAUUGGCAGAUAGGAGGUCCAGUUGUCAUAGCUGUUCGGAAUACACAAACCAUCCCGACCGACGGUCAGAAUUUUUUUGAAUGUGUCCUUGAGUUUAUUCGAGACUUGAGCAAAACUCGGAUUGGAGAAGAAUAUGGUCCCUGGGUUCCCUUUAUUGGAACUACGUUCCUUUUUAUUUUUGUUUUGAAUUGGUCGGGUGCUCUUUUACCUUGGAAAAUUAUAGAGUUACCCCAUGGGGAAUUAGAAGCGCCCACGAAUGAUAUAAAUACUACUGUUGCUUUAGCUUUACUCACGUCAGUGGCAUAUUUUUAUGCUGGUCUUAGCAAAAAAAGAUUGAGCUAUUUUGAGAAAUAUAUUAAACCAACUCCGAUCCUUUUACCAAUUAACAUCCUAGAAGAUUUCACAAAACCAUUAUCGCUUAGCUUUCGACUUUUCGGGAAUAUAUUGGCGGAUGAAUAA
rnacentral:rRNA from 1 species